GAUGAACGCUGGCGGCGUGCUUAACACAUGCAAGUCGAACGGAAAGGCCCUGCUUUUGUGGGGUGCUCGAGUGGCGAACGGGUGAGUAACACGUGAGUAACCUACCCUUGACUUUGGGAUAACUUCAGGAAACUGGGGCUAAUACCGGAUAGGAGCUCCUGCUGCAUGGUGGGGGUUGGAAAGUUUCGGCGGUUGGGGAUGGACUCGCGGCUUAUCAGCUUGUUGGUGGGGUAGUGGCUUACCAAGGCUUUGACGGGUAGCCGGCCUGAGAGGGUGACCGGCCACAUUGGGACUGAGAUACGGCCCAGACUCCUACGGGAGGCAGCAGUGGGGAAUAUUGCACAAUGGGCGGAAGCCUGAUGCAGCAACGCCGCGUGCGGGAUGACGGCCUUCGGGUUGUAAACCGCUUUCGCCUGUGACGAAGCGUGAGUGACGGUAAUGGGUAAAGAAGCACCGGCUAACUACGUG
rnacentral:rRNA from 1 species